GUGGGGAAUAUUGGACAAUGGGGGGAACCCUGAUCCAGCCAUGCCGCGUGUGUGAAGAAGGCCUUUUGGUUGUAAAGCACUUUAAGCGAGGAGGAGGCUACCGAGAUUAAUACUCUUGGAUAGUGGACGUUACUCGCAGAAUAAGCACCGGCUAACUCUGUGCCAGCAGCCGCGGUAAUACAGAGGGUGCAAGCGUUAAUCGGAUUUACUGGGCGUAAAGCGCGCGUAGGUGGCCAAUUAAGUCAAAUGUGAAAUCCCCGAGCUUAACUUGGGAAUUGCAUUCGAUACUGGUUGGCUAGAGUAUGGGAGAGGAUGGUAGAAUUCCAGGUGUAGCGGUGAAAUGCGUAGAGAUCUGGAGGAAUACCGAUGGCGAAGGCAGCCAUCUGGCCUAAUACUGACACUGAGGUGCGAAAGCAUGGGGAGCAAACAGGAUUAGAUACCCUGGUAGCC
rnacentral:rRNA from 1 species